UACGAAGGGGGCUAGCGUUGCUCGGAAUCACUGGGCGUAAAGCGCACGUAGGCGGAUUGCUAAGUCAGUGGUGAAAUCCUGGAGCUCAACUCCAGAACUGCCUUUGAUACUGGCGAUCUCGAGUCCGGGAGAGGUGAGUGGAACUGCGAGUGUAGAGGUGAAAUUCGUAGAUAUUCGCAAGAACACCAGUGGCGAAGGCGGCUCACUGGCCCGGUACUGACGCUGAGGUGCGAAAGCGUGGGGAGCAAACAGG
rnacentral:rRNA from 1 species